CCUACGGGGGACAGCAGUGAGGAAUAUUGGUCAAUGGGCGCGAGCCUGAACCAGCCAAGUCGCGUGAAGGAUGACUGUCCUAUGGGUUGUAAACCUCUUUUGUAGAGGAACAAAGUGCGCCACGCGCGCCUUUCCGCGCGUACCCUAUGAAUAAGCAUCGGCUAACUCCGUGCCAGCAGCCGCGGUAAUACGGAGGAUCCGAGCGUUAUCCGGAUUUAUUGGGUUUAAAGGGUGCGGAGGGGGGAAGUCAAGUCAGCGGUGAAAGUUUGCGGCUCAACCGUCUAAUUGCAGUUGAAACUGGUAGCCUGGAGUGAGGUAGAAGUAGGCGGAAUGCGUGGUGUAGCGGUGAAAUGCAUAGAUAUCACGCAGAACUCCGAUUGCGAAGGCAGCAUACUGGAGCGCAACUGACGCUCAUGCACGAAAGUGUGGGUAUCGAACAGGAUUAGAUACCCGGGUAGUC
rnacentral:rRNA from 1 species